CAUUAGGUAUGCAUUAGGUACAUAUGUAUUUUGCACAUAUUAUGUAAAUAUAAAUUUAUCGUGAUAACUUCAUAUGUACGCAUGUACAUAUAUAUGCCCGAUAUUAAAACUAUUUACACAUGUAGUAAUAGGUGCAAACUAUGUACCGAUGCACAGCACGCUAUUACCAAAGCCCCCCUUAUAGCAGCCCCCAGGCCCAGCCUGGCUGCUUAGAGACCCCCUGGCAAUUGGGCUGUGCCCACAAACACUGCUCGAAUGCCUGUAGCAGCCCCCAUGCCCACCCUGGCUGCUUAGGGACCCCCUGACUAGGUGUCUGUGCCCACAGCCCAUGCCAGAGUGCCCGUAGCAGCCCCCAGGCCAACCAUGGCUGCUCAGGGACCCCUGGCUGGGUCGAUGUGCUCACAGACCCCACCAAAAAGCCCAGAGCAGCCCCCAGGCCCACCCUGGCUGCUUAGGGGUCCCCUCGCUUGUGGGCUCUGCCCACAGCUGCUGAGGCCCAGCUAUUUUGCAAAUCAGGUGUAAUAUGAUUCUGGCAACCAUAUUAUAUAAAAAUGAUAAUCUUAUUCUGUUUUUUUGUAUAUUAGGCAAUAGCUCCAGUGACACCUCUGCCAUAUUGACAAAAAUGUCAUCCUCACCCCCAUUGACGUUAGAAUGAAAAUCAUAGGGGAGUUUCAUUCCUUGCAAUUCUUAAUUCAAUGUAAUUGUUUUCUUGCUUACAUUAGUGACCAUAUCAAAGCAUGGUGUACACCUCUUGCCGUAUUGAGAGUAUUUCCCUAUGGGCAGCAACAUUUUCCUCUCCUUCUCUGGAUAUUAGGAACAAUAUUCCAGGACCAGAGUACAGCCCCAGUCACGUCGUGGUGAAAAUAUCACAGCACGGUGUACUCCUCUUGCCGUAUUCAGAGGAUAUGCCUAUGGGCAGAAACAUUCCCCUCUCCUUCUCUGGAUAUUAGAAACAUUAUCACAGGACCGGCAAAGAGCCGCAGUCAUAUCGUGAGUAAUGUCAUCUGUAAUCCCCUAGUUAUAAAAAACAACAUCAAGGGGGUCUUGUGCACUUUAUGAGAUACUUAGAGUAAUGUUAGGAUUUGGGUAAUUUACAUGAGGGAGAAUAUUGAGUUGGUGUAUACACUCCAAAACACAGUAGAAAAGGGCAUUGUAUAUUUUUUCUGACAGAUUAUAUUGAGAGCAAUUUUGCUUUUAACAUUGGGGUACCUAGAUAAUAUUUAGAUUUCUUUCGAUUAGCGUAAAUUUAGAAUUUCAGUAUUUUACACAAGAGAGCAUAAUGAAUUGGUGUAUAGACUCCAAAACAGAGUAGAAUAGGGCAUUGUAUAUUAUUUCUGACAGAUCAUAUUCAGAGCAAAUUUGCUUUUAACAUUGGGUUGCCUAGAUAAUAUUUAGAUAUUUUACGAUUCGCGUAAAUUUAGAAUUUCCAUAUUUUAAAUUAUAGAGCAUAUUGAGUUGGUGUAUAUACUCCAAAACAGAGUAGAAAAGCGCAUUUUAUAUGUUUUCUGACAGAUAAUAUUCAGAGCAAUGUUACUGUUAACAUUGGGGUGCCUAGAUAAUAUUUAGAUUUUUUUCGAUUCUCAUAAAUUUAGAAUUUCGGUAUUUUACAUGAGAGAGCAUAUUAAGUUGGUGUAUAUACUCCAAAACAGAGUAGAAAAGUGCAUUGUAUAUUAUUUCUGACAGAUUAUAUUCAGAGUAAUUUUGCUUUUAACAUUGGGGUGCGUAGAUAAUAUUUAGAAUUUUUUCGAUUUGCGUAAAAUCAGAAUUUCGGUAUUUUACAUGAGAGAGCAUAUUGACUUGGUGUAUAUACUCCAAAACAAAGUAGAAUAGCGCAUUGUAUAUUUUUUAUGACAGAUUAUAUUCAGAGAAAUUUUUCUUUUAACAAUGGUGUGCCUAGAUAAUAUUUAGAUUGUUUCGAUUCACGUAAAAUUAGAAUCUCGGUAUUCUACAUGAGAGAGCAUAUUGAGUUGGUGUAUAUAAUCCAAAACAGUGCAGAAAAAAGCAUUGAAUAUUUUUUCUGACAGAUUAUAUUCAGAGAAAUUUUGCUUAUAACAUUGGGGUGCCUAGAUUGUAUUUACAUUUUUUUCGAUUCUUGUAAAUUAGAAUUUCGGUAUUUUACAUGUGAGAGCCUAUUGAGUUGGUGUAUAUACCCCAAAACAGAGUAGAAUAGGGCAUUGUAUAUUUUUUUCUGACAGAUUAUAUUCAGAGCAAUUUUCUUUUAACAUUGCUGUGCCUAGGUAAUAUUUAGAGUUUGUUCGAUUCGCGUGAAAUUUGAAUUUCAGUAUUUUACAUGAGAGAGCAUAUUGAGUUGGUGUAUAUACUCCAAAACAGAGUGGAAUAGAGCAUUGUAUACUUUUUCUGACAGAUUAUAUUCAGAGAAGUUUAGCUUUUUACAUUGGGGUUCUUACAUAUUAUUUAGAUUUUUUUCAAUUGGCGUAAAAUCAGAAUUUCAGUAUUUUACAUGAGAGAACAUAUUGAGUUGGUGUGUAUACUCCAAAACAGAGUAGAAUAAGGCAUUGUAUAUUUUUUUGACAGAUUAUAUUUAUAGCCAUUUUCUUUUAACCUUGGGGUGCCUACAUAAUAUUUAGAAUUUCUUCGAUUUGCGUAAAAUUAGAAUUUUGGUGUUUUACAUGAGAGAGCAUAUUUAGUUGGUGUAUAUACUCCAAAGCAAAGUAGAAAAGGGCAUUGUA
ensembl:lncRNA